rnacentral:rRNA from 1 species
UCUACGGGAGGCAGCAGUAGGGAAUCUUCCACAAUGGACGAAAGUCUGAUGGAGCAACGCCGCGUGAGUGAAGAAGGAUUUCGGUUCGUAAAACUCUGUUGCAAGGGAAGAACAAGUAGCGUAGUAACUGGCGCUACCUUGACGGUACCUUGUUAGAAAGCCACGGCUAACUACGUGCCAGCAGCCGCGGUAAUA